rnacentral:tRNA from 1 species
GCGGCAGUAGCUCAGUGGUAGAACCUCCGCUUCGCAUGCGGGGAGACCUGGGUUCGAUUCCCUGCUGCUUCC